AUUGAACGCUGGCGGCAGGCCUAACACAUGCAAGUCGAGCGGAUGAAGGGAGCUUGCUCCUGGAUUCAGCGGCGGACGGGUGAGUAAUGCCUAUGAAUCUGCCUGGUAGUGGGGGAUAACGUCCGGAAACGGGCGCUAAUACCGCAUACGUCCUGAGGGAGAAAGUGGGGGAUCUUCGGACCUCACGCUAUCAUAUGAGCCUAGGUCGGAUUAGCUAGUUGGUGGGGUAAAGGCCUACCAAGGCGACGAUUCGUAACUGGUCUGAGAGGAUGAUCAGUCACACUAGAACUGAGACACGGUCCAGACUCCUACGGGAGGCAGCAGUGGGGAAUAUUGGACAGUGGGCGAAAGCCUGAUCCAGCCAUGCCGCGUGUGUGAAGAAGGUCUUCGGAUUGUAAAGCACUUUAAGUUGGGAGGAAGGGCAGUAAGUUAAUACCUUGCUGUUUUGACGUUACCAACAGAAUAAGCACCGGCUAACUUCGUG
rnacentral:rRNA from 1 species